rnacentral:rRNA from 1 species
AUUGAACGCUGGCGGCAGGCCUAACACAUGCAAGUCGAACGGUAACAGAAAGUAGCUUGCUACUUUGCUGACGAGUGGCGGCCGGGUGAGUAAUGUCUGGGGAUCUGCCUGAUGGAGGGGGAUAACUACUGGAAACGGUAGCUAAUACCGCCUGAUGCCGCAAGACCAAAGCGGGGGACUUUCGGGCCUCGCACCAUCAGAUGAACCCAGAUGGGAUUAGCUAGUAGGUAGGGUAAUGGCUUACCUAGGCGACGAUCCCUAGCUGGUCUGAGAGGAUGACCAGCCACACUGGAACUGAGACACGGUCCAGACUCCUACGGGAGGCAGCAGUGGGGAAUAUUGCACAAUGGGCGCAAGCCUGAUGCAGCCAUGCCGCGUGUAUGAAGAAGGCCUUCGGGUUGUAAAGUACUUUCAGUCAGGAGGAAGGGUGUGAAAUUAAUACUUUCAUGCAUUGACGUUACUGACAGAAGAAGCACCGGCUAACUCCGUGCCAGCCGCCGCGGUAAUAC